AUACUUACUUGGCGUCGAGGUUAACCGUGAUCAACGAGGCGGUUCCUCCAGGACGAGACUGGCCCAUUGCACAUCGGGCUGGUUGACCCCUGCGAGUAUUCCUUAUGCGAAUACCUCGGACGCGUAAUUUUUGGUAGCGGGGAUCGCGUUCGCGCGUCCCACCUAAUCUCUAAUGCGAAAAUCGAACAUUGCCAGAAAAUUUUGGUUACCGAGUGAGGAGUAACAUAAACAAGUUACUAAUACGACUCACAAAUUACCGAU